rnacentral:rRNA from 1 species
GACAGAGGGGGCAAGCGUUGCUCGGAAUUACUGGGCGUAAAGGGCGCGUAGGCGGGAUGGCAAGUCGGUCGUGAAAUCCCUCGGCUCAACUGAGGAUCGUCGAUCGAUACUGCCGUUCUUGAGGAUUGCAGAGGAGACUGGAAUUCCCGGUGUAGCGGUGAAAUGCGUAGAUAUCUGGAGGAACACCGGUGGCGAAGGCGGCAUCCUGGACCGGUAUUGACACUGAGGCGCGAAAGCCAGGGGAGCAAACGGG